rnacentral:misc_RNA from 1 species
UGCGGUCGUAGCCAAUCGACGGCCACUGCUCACACGCAAGCGCAUCCAUACAAAAAGAGAGAGAGACUUGGCCACAGAUUUGGUCGGUUUGAUACUUCGAGUAUUUCUCUACUUGUUAACAUAGAUAGAAGGUGGGCGGCGAGGACAUCGACAACAACUCCGCCCCGCCCCACCCCCACCUCACUCCCGCCCCUCUUCGGCUCUGCUCGGUGCUUCCCUUUUUCAUUGGUGUUAACACGAUUUUCGUUUUGCGUGUGCUUGUGCGCGCGCGCGCCUGCGCUUGCGCAGACUCUCGGAUCGUGCGCUGAGCUUCUCGGGUGCCAUCACAUCAAAGCAAGUGCGUCGCACAUCAAGGCCUCUCGCGGGAGGACGGACGUGCGGUUUCUCGUUUCCUCUGUGCGUGUCGGUCUCCUUGGAGCUGCUGCGCUCGCAUCACGUGAGGGCAUCGGCACGGCGUAUGUGCCUUUCCUGCGUCUUGCUCCUCCGCCGACCCUUUGCCAGCGAGAGAGUAGGGGUGCACCCCUCUCUUCCUCCCCAAGCACGGAUAUGCACACGCCAGAGCCGCGUCCCCGCCACAGCCGCGGCGGGAACGCGAGUACCACGCCCCAGGUCGAUUCGAGAAACGCCACGCCGACGCCGCGGGCUGGUUUUCUGCGCCGCGGCGGUGACGACGGUGGCGGCGACACGCUACACGGCGCCAUCGCAGCCGGGCCGUCUGUCCUGUUUGACGAGGAGACAGGCACGGCCGUGGCCGUCGAUGGCUCUCCUCAGCCCACUCAGCUGACGCAGCAGCAGCAGCUGUAUCCUGGUCAGGCCCGACUGCCGCGCCAGCGUCCGCGCUUUCACACCGUGCAGGACCUUGAUGUCGCCCUGAAUCAGGCCAUUGAGGGCAAGAUCACCAGCCGCAACGCGUGGGCCAGCAAGGAGGCGAGUGACCUCCUGGAGGGCAUUACGCACACCAUCGAGACGACGCUGGACAACGCAUCGACGGACGACUACGCUGGCUUCGCUAAGGCGGCGACGGUUGUGGAGGGCUGCUCGAAGGUGUGGACGAGCCGCGUGGACAGCACGUAUCAGCGGAGCAACCAGAUGGUCCAGCGCCUGCUACGCAAAGAUGACACGUCAGGCAAACCGCCGACCGGCGGCAGAGACGACGGGGAAGGCGGAGACGGCGAGGAGGGGGAGGAGCAACAGCGCGCGAAGAGCCGCUCGCGUAGCGUGGCGACCGCGUCUGCCGCUGCCGCUGCCACACGUACUCUGGCAAUGGAGGCUGCGGAGAUCAACCUAGACAGCAAGAGCCGCACGGCGCUCACGCAGACCCACGUCAACGCGCAGUUCCGCGCGAUCACCUCGAAGUUCGAUCAAGGCAACGCGCAGGGUCUUCUCAUGAACAAUGCGCCGAUGGGCCGGGCCGGCAACAUCAUCUUAGACGUUGACUACUCCGUCAUGCCUGCUUCGGAUGCCGUCGACGGUUGCAGCCGGCAGGGUAGCCGUCGCAUCUCGGGCCCCAGCGCUCCAUCGCCGUCGGGGGGCAGUGGUGCAGAAGGCCAGGAAACUCAGGCGGAGACGGUCACGCCUUCGCGCGUGUCGCAGCACGCCUCCGUUGAGCUCGACGCAGCCGUGUACGAGACCGUCGCUGAUUUACCCCCGUACUAUGGCGUGACGACAGUUGUGCCGCUUACUGGCCAGCUGAGGAGCAUCCGCGGCUCCGAGUCCUUUCCGCAGGCGCGUGACAGCGCCGGCGGAGUCAGUUCUGCCGGCGACGCGCGUGGCAGUCAAGCAAGCGCUAUCGACCCGCUGCUGCUCCUCCCGCACGUCUCGCCGCCGAGGCAGGACUUGAGUGACCUCGCCCGCGUGUCGCUCAAGUCCGACCCACGUGAGGGCUACAACGGCAGCGGCGCCAGCGGUGAGGCGAACAGAGAGAGUCGAAGUUGCAUCACGUCUCACAGUGACAGGACGGCGGCCACCGCUGGUGGCGGUGAUGCAGCAAUGAGUGCCUACGACAGCCAACAGGAGCAGGAGGCUGAGGGCGGGUUUGCAACCCGCGGCAACGGCAACGACGACGGUGUCGAUGGCGAUAACGCCGACUUCGAUGACUGGGACGGCGUCGGCGACGACGACGACAGCAGGUGCUACAACAAGGCAGACAUCAGUGCCCGCACCGACAGUGAAGGUGCCGACCGUGGCGCCGAGGCCCGCCGUCUUGUGUCAGGCGCUGCGGAGAUGGAGCUGAUGGACAAUCUCUUCCACGGCCACACCCAGCUGGCUCUUGAGGCAGAGGACCCGACGUCUUGGUGCCCGCUGAGUGAGGUCUCUGCGAACCCGCUGGCAGGCGUGCAAGGGCUCUCGGCGCUUUCUCGGCUGCACCGCGAGCACCGCUUCGCACAGUCGCAGAAAGGCGCUGACGGCGACGACGCCGCCCGAAACAGGAACGGGGGUGAGCGUGGAAGCAGCCUCAGCAGCCCAGUUGGAGCUCAGCUGCAGCCGACCACAAAGCGCGGGCGCAAGGAACGCACCGUGGUGUUUCAGUUGCCACACUCACCGAGCUGUGGCCGGGGGGCUGGCGCCAGCGGCGUCGCUUCUGCAACAGCCGCGUUUGCGACGGAGUCGAGGCUGCUUCUCGACGACAGUGCGCUGCGUCAGGCUACCACCGCCGCGCGUAAUAUCACCCCGCUCGGCAAGCAGCUCCUCUUCGCGAGGAAUGCCGCGCAGGAGGUGCUGGCCUACACGCAGAGCGCUGUGCAGCGCAGCAAGGCGGAGCAGGCGGGGCUGCUGCUGCCUGAAGCGCCGAUCCGAGGGAAGACGAUCCCGUCGUACAUGCCGUUCCCAGUGCACACGCAGGACUUCUUCCAGCCCUUCAGCACCUCGCUGACUCACUGGAACCUUCUGCGCAAGUCCGCGACGGGUCACCUCGUCGACAGCACCGCCGGCGCGCGCAACAACGAAGGGCCAUCGUCGUCAUCCGUGAUGGCUGGGGGCAGCAGCAGCUGCUGCAUCACUGGUGACUGCAGCAGCCGCCUUGGCCUGGCAACACGCACCGGCGAAUACUUCAGUGCCGAAGCUCUGGACGAGGACAGCUACGGCGGUGUCGGUGCCCGGUACGGUGACGACAACAUGCCAGUCGAGUUCUUCCCUGGCGGGGCGGAGGUAGAGGCUCAGGAUGGUGGUGAGGCCGGCGGUGACUAUGCUGAUUACGCCGAGCUCUACGGCCCCGACGACAACCACAGCGACGAGGAGGAGGAGAGCCGCUACGUGCAGGGCGGCUUCCACAGCUCUGCAGAUGCGCGCCUCAUCGCGGAGAUGGAGCUGGCUGCGGCUGCUGCGACAUCCGUGACGGUCUCUGGCGGCUCCUCGACGCGCAGCAGCGGCACUACCACUGAUGCCCUUCUUGCCGACCCUCUGGAGCUGCUGAAGGUGCUGAGCCCACCCGAGGCAACCCUACCGAACCAGGUGGACGUGGUGAAGCUCCGGCAGCUCAUGUGGGAGGCGCUGCGGGGGCGUCUGGCAGCGAACCAGCAGGAGAAGGCCGUGGACCUCGCGACGCUGCGCUGCGGAGCCGCAGCGGCGGUAUCGCAGAUAGCGGAGGAAGACGAGGAUGGCGUCGCCUCCUUGCGGGAAAACCGCAAGGUGGCGAUGGUGAAGGCGCACGCACAGGCGGCGCUCAACGCGCUUCGACAGCGUGUACGCUCGACAGACGCCGGCGAAGAUGCGCAGUCUGCGAAUUGCAACGAGGACACCGUAGCAGACCAGUUCCUUGACGCAGAUUCGGCCGCCACUGGCGCCGCUGCUGCUGCUGCUGCGACGCCGGCGGGGGUGCCACCCACGCGGUUCAGCGACGUUGUCCGCUCCGUCCUGCCACAUAUCUCUGUCGUGUCGUCCACCAACACGCUUUCGCCUGCCUUUUUCUUCUUUUCCAUUCUCUUCCUCGCGAAUGAGCACAACGUGGUGCUGCAGAGCGUUGAGGACUUGAAUGACUUGGUGGCCUGCGGCAUCGCCGGCCGCGUCGGUGAGUGAUAGCGUGCCUGUGUGCCUCCUGCCAUCCUCCUCUCAUCACGCAGCCUCUCUCUCUGUGUACGUGGGUGCGUGCGUAUGCCACAGGGCACUGUGGGGGCUUCGUGGACUGGAUCACGGGUGAAGAGAGACAGGGUGGGGCGAGGCGAGGCGGAGGAGGAGGAGGGCUCAGGCGCUGUAGACCUGUGCAUGCACAUGCACGCAACAGACGCGUGCCCUACAAGCCUUCAAGCACACACCACUUUGUGUGUGCGGUGCUUUCGCUUGCUUCUUCUCAGAGCUCAUAGAACAUGGACAAUACGAGUCUCUGAACGAACAGCCGUGCAAGAAGAGAUGCGGGAGGAGGAGGAGGAGGGGGGGUUGCCGCGAAGUGCCGGUGGCAUGCAGACCUGCCAACCUACACGCACGCACGCACGCACGCAUACACACACACACACACACACACACACACACACACACACACACACACACACGCGCGCGCGCGCACGGUGCAGUGAGACACUUCUUCCCUCUCGCGUCUGUGUUGCUGCGUUCCGUUGUGGAGCGAAGGCAGCGCAGAGCGAGACGGGCCCCGCGCGAAGUAGCGGGAUGGGUUGGGUCGCCCACUGCGUAUGCGGGUGCGUGCGUGCGUGCGUGCGUGUGCUGCUGUGAUUGCAAUGCCAGACGUGGGGGAGGGGGGCGGCGUGUCGCCUCUUAUCUUUUGCCUGCCUUCCCACGCUGCUGCUGUGCUGCUGCUGGAAGGCUUCCGCUCCACACACGCGUCUCUCUCCACCUCAUUUCUUUUUUCUGCUUUGACUCCUCGAUGGCCGCCACCACGCCAG